GUUUCUGUAGUGUAGUGGUUUUCACGUUCGCCUCAAACAGAAAGGUCCCCCGGGUUCGAAACCCGGGCAGAAAUACA